AGGGUCGUAGCUCAAUCUGGUAGAGCACCGGUCUCCAAAACCGGCGGUUGGGGGUUCGAUUCCCUCCGGCCCUGCGA
rnacentral:tRNA from 1 species